rnacentral:lncRNA from 1 species
UCAUUAUCCUUGAAAAUUGGUAUAAAGAAGAUAGAGUUGUCAAGUCAAUAGUUGCUUGCCAGGUGUCAGGAACUGUCUCGAAUGUUUCAGGAAAGAUGCUAAACUUAAUGAGGUUAACUAACCUCCUGAUUAUAUUUAAUAUAAUCCACAGUCAAUUACGAAGAUCCCUCAGCCUGCUCCAAAGACCAAACAGGGACUGUAAUAGGGAGGUGAUGUCCACAAUGACUGUAUCUUCAAAGUCUUUGAUAGAGGCACUCAUCUCUCCCCCACCACUGCCAAGGGUGUGUUAAUGUUUUACUGUUUCAGGUUUACUAUACUCCUAGAGAAAGAGCUUCCAUUUGCCCUUCCUAACAAAAACACCCUGUAGCCACAUAUCAGAGAGCAAUUUUUAUGGGUUUUAUCAAUGCUGAACAAGUCCACAGAAAUACCUGGGCUCUGCAAUAUGAACUUGAGACAAAAAUUUAAGAAACUUCUU